UUUUUUGCUGUGAAAAUAGAAGGUAUAUUCUCAUUAAUAAUCGUUUUAGAACCCAGAACAUUGCAUUCUGAAUUUCUAAUAAUCAUUCCUGAACAUGACCUAUUUUCAUGUUGUUUGAGAAAUGCAUCAAAAUUUAUCCUAACAACUGAGUUCUCCGGAGGCCUCCAUGUCACUGCUUCCACUCUACAAAAAGGUUUGGAACAGGAAAUCCCAUCUAUUUCUCUAACAUAUUCUCUAAUGGAGUUUACUACUGUUAACCCUAGUCUUUUUUGCCUUUCAUGCAGCCAUUUAUUCUGUUCAGUCCAAAUAGCCCAAGUCACAAUAACCAACGUUCGACAUUGAGAGCUCGAGUUAUCAUCGAAAAACUAGGUAAUCCAUUCUAUAAACUUCAUUUCUGAUAUCAACUCUGACCAUUGAAAGUUCAUCAGGUUCUAUAUCUCUUUUGACACAGGGCAGUCCCUCAAAGCAUGUUCUCUGGAUUCAUACUCCCUUGAGUAUCGCAGGCAUAGGGCUGAAUUGACUAAUCUCUUGUAGUGUAGAUUACAAAAAGUAGGCAGGAAUUUUUUUGUAAAUCUCCCGAAUGUAAGCUUUAUUUUUUAGGGUAGGUUCAUACCCCAUAAUUUUUUUAUAAAUAUCUACAUACACUGUCUAGUUGGUUGUAUGAUUAGUGCCCUUAGGGUAAUGUAAUAGAGUGCUGUACACACUCCGAAUAGUAAAAUCCCAGAUGCCACCCCUUUCCAUACCAAAAAGUCUUCAUGCUGGAACUUGGCUAGUGGGAUUUUCAAAAUACGACUGGCAUCUAUAUCAGUAAAGGUUUGUCUUAUAAACUCUUCUCUCCAUCUUCUUGUGUUGUUGUCAAUACCAUAAAAUUAUCCUAACAUCUCUCACAGUUUUGAAUUUUAAAAUCUGCAGAUCCUUAAACCCACGCAGCCUCCCUAACAGGAAUUUUAGUUCUAGUCCCAACAAGCCAAUACAAACCAUCCUGAAGAAUUCCUUUGGUCGCCCAAAAUACUUUUCUAGGUAUAGAAAGGUAUAUUUCCUAACCCAACACUCAAGAAAUCCCUAUAUGGAUAGUAUUUUGCUUUCAAAGUGCGUGCAAGUAAUGAAUUCGGAUAAGUAAAUAGACGUCAACCCUGCUUCGCUAAUAAGGAUAAAUUAAAAUUGGUAAAACUAUGAAAACCCAAACCACCAUAUUCUUUAAGCCCAUGCAGUUUCUUCCAUUCACACCAGUGAAUCCCCCUCCUACCUUGCCCUUUUUGUCACUAAAAAUUCGUACAAAUCUGCUCUUUCAUAACAAAGAGAUUUUGGUAAUAAUAAAUAGGACAUUGAGUAAAGUAGGAAUGGCCUGUAACGCUGAUUUUAUGAACACUUCCUUCCCUCAUUGCAAUAAAUUCC
rnacentral:lncRNA from 1 species